AUACUACUCCCUCUGUCCGGAAAUAUUUGUCCUAGAGAUGAAUGUAUCUAGACUUAUUUUAGUUAUAGAUACAUUCAUUAUAUCAAGUAUUUCCGGACGGAGGGAGUAGAAG
rnacentral:pre_miRNA from 1 species